AACAAACGCUGGCGGCGUGCCUAAUACAUGCAAGUCGAACGGGGAAAGUAGCAAUACGAGUACUAGUGGCGCACGGGUGAGGAAUACAUGGGUAAUCUGCCCUCGAGCUCGGGAUAACCAGUCGAAAGACUGGCUAAUACCGGAUAUGACCACAAGAUCUGAGGAUCAAGGGGUAAAAGGUUUUUCGCUUGAGGAUGAGCCCAUGUGGGAUUAGCUAGUUGGUGUAGGUAACGGCUCACCAAGGCGACGAUCCCUAACUGGUCUUAGAGGAUGAUCAGUCACACUGGAACUGAGACACGGUCCAGACUCCUACGGGAGGCAGCAGUAGGGAAUAUUGCACAAUGGAGGAAACUCUGAUGCAGCGACGCCGCGUGAGUGAUGAAGGCCUUCGGGUCGUAAAGGCUCUGUCGUAUGGGACGUAA
rnacentral:rRNA from 1 species